UACGUAGGGUGCGAGCGUUAAUCGGAAUUACUGGGCGUAAAGCGUGCGCAGGCGGUUUUGUAAGCCAGAUGUGAAAUCCCCGGGCUCAACCUGGGAAUGGCAUUUGGGACUGCAAGGCUGGAGUACGGCAGAGGAGACUGGAAUUCCUGGUGUAGCAGUGGAAAUGCGUAGAUAUCAGGAGGAAUACCGAUGGCGAAGGCAGGUCUCUGGGCUGAUACUGACGCUCAUGCACGAAAGCGUGGGGAGCAAACAGG
rnacentral:rRNA from 1 species